AUUGAACGCUGGCGGCAGGCUUAACACAUGCAAGUCGAGCGAGCGGCGGACGGGUGAGUAACGUCUGGGCAACUGCCUGAUGGAGGGGGCUAACUACUGGAAACGGUAGCUAAUACCGCAUACCAUCAGAUGUGCCCAGAUGGGAUUAGCUAGUGGGUGGGGUAAUGGCUCACCUAGGCGACGAUCCCUAGCUGGUCUGAGAGGCGGACCAGCAAAAUGGGAACUGAGACACGGUCCAGACUCCUACGGGAGGCAGCAGUGGGGAAGAUUGCAAAAUGGGCGCAAGCCUGAUGCAGCCAUGCGGCGGGUGGGAAGAAGGCCUUCGGGUUGUAAAGCACUUUCAGCGAGGAGGCGUUACUCGCAGAAGAAGCACCGGCUAACUCCGUGCCAGCAGCCGCGGUAAUAC
rnacentral:rRNA from 1 species